GACGAACGCUGGCGGCGUGCUUAACACAUGCAAGUCGAACGGAAAGGCCCUGCUUUUGUGGGGUUCUCGAGUGGCGAACGUGUGAGUAACACGUGAGUAACCUGCCCUUUACUUUGGGAUAACUUCAGGAAACUGGGGCUAAUACCGGAUAGGAGCUCCUGCUGCAUGGUGUGGUUUGGAAAGUUUCGGCGGUUGUGGAUGGACUCGCGGCUUAUCAGCUUGUUGUUGGGGUAGUGGCUUACCAAGGAUUUGACGGGUAGCCGGCCUGUGAGGGUUACAGGCGACAUUGGGACUGAGAUAGGGAGAAGAGUGCUACGGGAGGCAGCAGUGGGGAAUAUUGCAGAAUGGGAGGAAGGCUGAUGAAGAAACGAAGGGAGCGGGAAGAAGGCCUUCGGGUUGUAAAAGGCAUGCGCAUGUGACGAAGCGUGAGUGACGGUAAUGGGUAAAGAAGCACCGGCUAACUACGUG
rnacentral:rRNA from 1 species